AGAAGUCCAAGAUCAAGGUGGGGGCAGGAUUGGUUACUUCUGAGGCUCCUCUCCUCAGCUGUGUCCUCACAUGGCCACCCUUCUGUAUAGCGAGCCUCUUAAGAGACGUAACCUAGUGGAAGCCAUGUAAUCUGACCGAGCGUUCAAGUUCCCAUCUGUAAUAUUUUUGUCUCAGGCAGACACUGCAAGAGAUGACAAGGUUCAGCAAGAUGACUCGGGCCAAAUUCACUUUUUUCCAUCUAAGAGCCAAAGAGUGGGAAAGGAAGACCAGAUCAGCAGCAUCAGGUAACAGUGCGAGCCCAGGUAGCAAUUAUAAUAGAUAUACACUCUUGGGUGUAAGUCAUUGGUGUGAGAACCAGGAGUAGACGAGAAGCCGGCUAAAGAAUUAUAACCCUCAAGGAAGAUGCACCCUGGGACGUCAAGGGCAUAAUGUAUAUGGAAUGUCAUUGCCCUCAAAUAUCAUUCCUAUCUGACCAUCAAAAAGAACUGGCGAAUUUAGUCCCUCAGAAGAAAAGAAGGAAUGAGUGGAUCUAUUAUUAUUAUUAUCAUAUAUUAAAUGUA